GCUGUUUUGACUGCGCAGAUUGGGCUGUGUGCCAAGACUCUAGUGUCAAUAUAGAUGAACUCGCUGAUGUGCUUUGCAGUUAUAUUUCCUUCUGUGAAAAUACAGUGAUCCCUAGCAAAAUGUUUACUAUCUAUACCAAAAACAAGCUUUGGGUUACCAAGUCAUUGAAGAGCUUAUUGGGUAAAAAGAAUACUGCUUUCUAUGAGGGCAAUAUGACUGCAAAAAGGGAACCUGGAAUUAAGGUGAGAACAGAAAUCAAGAAAGAUAAACUGAAAUAUGAGGGAGAAAAUUUAGGGGGAACUCAGUAGCAGUAGUAGGGCUGCCUGUAAUGGAAUGAGAACUAUGGUUGGGCUACAAGGGAAACAAGAUCAUACAGGUUGAUGAUUUUAACUCAAACAAAGGACUGGCUGAUGAGCUAAAUGGUUUUAAUCUCAGAUUUGACAAUCAGAACUUUAGUGGAGAAAUUACUGAGGUGCGUAUGGGGACAAUUGUUACUCCCAGAAUGGAAUUUAGCAUCCAGAGUGUCAUCAGCCUAUUCAGACCGACAAAAGUUAAAAAGAGCCCAGGACCAGACAACGUUGGUGGACAGGUACUUAAGUCAACAACUUAGUGUCAUUUUUAAUCACAUUUUCAUUCUGUCACUCGAGCUGCAGAAGGUACCUAAACUCUGGAAGCAUGCUACUGUUGUUCCUGUGGCAAAAAGCAAAUACCGCAAGGUGCUAAAUGACUUUAGGCCAGUGGCACUGACAUCCUUGGUGAUGAAAUCAUUAGAGAAGCUAAUCAAGAAAGAUGUUCUACGUAAGGUUGAGAAUUCCCUGGACCCCCUGCAGUUUGCUUACUCGGGGGGUCGAGGACGCCACUCUAACCCUACUCAACUUCCUCUACAAACACCUGGAGGGCCCAAAAACCCAUGCGUUCAUCGACUUAUCGUCGACCUUCAAUACAAUCCAAUCUCAUAUACUAGCAGAGAAGCUGCUCUCCCACUUCAAACUGGACGUGAGCAUUGUGGGCUGGAUAGUGGACUUCCUUACCGACCGGUCCCAACAAGUGGCGUCAGGUCAAAGCAGCUCUGCUCCUCCACCGGAUCCCCACAAGGUUGUGUGCUCUCUCAUUUCCUGUACAUACUAUACACUAAUGACUGUCAUAGCAAAUAUGAAAACAGGCACAUCAUCAAGUUUGCUGAUGACUCUGUCAUCGUCAUUCUACUACAGGAUGGAGAGUCUGAGCAUGGGCCUCUGGUAGAUGACUCUGUCAUCGUCAUUCUAAUACAGGAUGGAGAGUCUGAGCAUGGGCUUCUGGUAGAUGACUCUGUCAUCGUCAU
rnacentral:lncRNA from 13 species